AUUGAACGCUGGCGGCAUGCCUUACACAUGCAAGUCGAACGGCAGCACGGGUGCUUGCACCUGGUGGCGAGUGGCGAACGGGUGAGUAAUACAUCGGAACGUACCCAGUAGCGGGGGAUAGCCCGGCGAAAGCCGGAUUAAUACCGCAUACGCCCUACGGGGGAAAGGGGGGGAUCGCAAGACCUCUCACUAUUGGAGCGGCCGGUGGCUGAUCAGCUAGUUGGUGGGGUAAAGGCCUACCAAGGCGACGAUCAGUAGCUGGUCUGAGAGGACGACCAGCCACACUGGGACUGAGACACGGCCCAGACUCCUACGGGAGGCAGCAGUGGGGAAUUUUGGACAAUGGGCGAAAGCCUGAUCCAGCAAUGCCGCGUGUGCGAAGAAGGCCUUCGGGUUGUAAAGCACUUUUGUCAGGGAAGAAAUCGUUUGGGUUAAUACCCCGAGCAGUUGACGGUACCUGAAGAAUAAGCACCGGCUAACUACGUGCCAGCCGCCGCCGUAA
rnacentral:rRNA from 1 species